AAGAAAAGAGCGAAACUUGUAAUAUCAUUAAGCGAAACUUUUAAUAUCAUUUAUUAAUGAUACUAUUUUUCUUACUAAAUGAAACCUUUAAAUAUAGAACGAAUGAUUCUAUUUUUCUUACUAAAUGAACCUUUAAAUAUAGAACAAAUGAUACUAUUUUUCUUAAUAAAUCAAACCUUUAAUAUAGAACAAAUGUAACUAUUUUUCAAACUAAAUAAAAUAAAAAAAUAAUUAAAAAUUUGAAACGAAAAAGAAAAAAGAAGAAGAAAAAAGAAACUACAUACUUAAGAAACUAAAAGUAUUAAAAGAAAGAAACUAUAGAAAAAAUAAAAAAAACUACAAGUAUUAAAAGAAAGAAACUAUAAAAAAAAAACUACAUACUUAAAAGAAAGAAACUACAAGUAUUAAAAGAAAGAAACUACAAGUAUUAUUUUAAUAAAGAAAUUACAUACUUAAAAGAAAGAAACUACAAAAAAAAACUACAUACUUAAAAGAAAGAAACUACAAAUAUUAUUUUAAUAAAGAAAUUACAUACUUAAAAGAAAGAAACUACAAGUAUUAUUUUAAUAAAGAAAUUACAUAUUUAAAAGAAAGAAACUACAAAAAAAAGAGAAAGAAACUACAUACUUAAAAGAAAGAAACUACAA
rnacentral:lncRNA from 1 species